GGAUGGAGCCUCGCUGACCAGCUGCACUCGUCGCGGUGCCCGAGACCCCUGGACAACGCUCCGCUGCGCUUCAUUCACAAAAAGGCCCGCGGCCCUCCCUGGGGCCCGCCUCCCGCCACCGCUGGUUGGAUACUGCUGUGUGACGUUAGGGGCACGGAGCCUCGCCACAGGCAGGUACGCGGUGACGCCAUAAAGAAGUCGGAGAGGCUUGGCCAAUCUGCGGCAAGGUGGCUCGCGACGCCCUCGGCCGACCCCGCCUCCGUCUCCCGGGCGACCGCCUAGCUGCUGGGUUCCCAACUUCCUUCCCGGGUCUGUGUGCUCUGCCCGCUGUGUAUGGCAUUGUCCCUGCAAAGUGUGGCUUGGCUCUCCAUGGUAUUCGCGCCAAGCGAGAGUCUCUUUCCAGGGCUGCCGGCGUGUAAAGGAGCACGAGCUGAUGCGUCCGGGCAGUCUUACAGACUGAGGCAGAACUGGUCUCAGAUUUUGGGCUCGUGCAAACGUGCUGCGCCCGGUUCCCCGACCCGUGCCCAGCCUGCAGAAAGAAGCGCAGGGCUCGUGAAGUACUUGGGAGGCUAUAAGUUCAAGGCCAGCGUAUGCCCACAGGAGCAGGAGGAAGAGGAGAAGAGGACGAAGAAGGAGGAAGACGACAAAGAAGAGGAGAAGGAGGAAGAGAAGAAGAAAGGAAGGAAGCAGAAAGCAGCAGCAGCAGAAGAAGAAAUAAUAAUUCACCACCACCAAACUGGCACUCCAAAUAUUAUCAAGGAUAUACUAGAAAGAGACAAUGAAGAUCACAAUGCCAAAACGUCUACAGUAAGUCCUUGACUUACAAGUGAGUUCUGUUCUAGGAGAAUGUUUGUAAAUCAGACUUGUUUGUAAGUCUGACUAAAUCAAUCUAUAUACCUUUGACACAAAUAUAAAAUGUAAAGCAUAAAAAAACACAAAC
rnacentral:lncRNA from 1 species